GUCCAGGCCUUCAGGCUGCAGGCUCUCAGGCCAACUUCCACCCUGGGCCUCUCCCCACCAUACCCUGCUCUUGGGACCCAGGACAACCCUGCAGGGGCAGUGACAGGGGCAGCCCGCGAUCUGUUGCAGGACACAUGCUCUCCCCACCUCCCCCUUGCUGUGGCCCAGGGCCAGACUGGGAGCAGGGCCAAUUUCCGGUUCUCCAUUUUGUGGAUUUUCGAGGACACACUUGUUGAAGCCUGGCGGCAGCGUUCUCCUGAAUACAGCGCCUGGAGGCUGAGUCUCUUGUCCACCCUGUGUCAUCUGCACCUGGCUCCUGCCAGGUGCCACAUCGAUCUUCACAACCACCCUGGGCUGCUGGGGUCACCGUCCCUGCUUCCCCACCAAGAGAAGUCACGGAGACCCCAUCUCCCGCCAGACAGCGAGCUCACCCGCCAGACCAGAGCCUGCUCUCUCCCUAGCACCCGGCUGGACGUGGCGCCCGGGCCAGGCACCGUGUGUGUCCGUGGAGGAGAGCUCGCCUCUGGGACAGCCUCAUGGAGGGAAGGAGCCCGGGCGGGGUGCUCUCUGAACCCUGUGGCUGUUAGCAGAGCACCCUUAAACCCUCACCACCCACCUGAGCCUGUUUGAGGAGAGCAAGAUCUUAAGGAUGCUUUUCAGCUUCCUCAGGAGACCGGGGGAGACCAAGGAAGCGGGGGCCCUAGGUGCCCCUCCUGGCUCCCUGCAGAUGAGAUCCCCACCCUGGCCCUGCAGGCCUGCUGAGAAGGGGCUGGAGGUGUCAGGGGCAGGAUUCGCACAGGAAAGGAAAUGGCAACGGGAUUCUGCCCCUGCUCCCCACCAGCGCAGGAUGGAGGAGGCCUUGGUGUCCCUGCAACAGCUCUAGCAUUCCAGGCAGGGGCUUCCUUGCAGCCGGCCAGCAGGUGACCUCGCUGUGUCCUCCGGUUGGAGGGUGGCAGCCGCUACUCCACCUUCCCACCUGCCUGGCUGAGCCUUGGCCUGUGUCCCCCCGGAGCUUUCAGCUGCCCCUUCCCUGCACACGAUGGCCCGCCUGGACCAUGGUAAGUGAUUUAGUGCCUUAACAGAAACACCCAGCGGCUCUGGGGGUGGGUUUUCUGGUCACAUAAUGCAACAUGUGCAUUAAUGUAAAUAAAGGCUUUAUCACCAAACCGCCGUGUCCUGCAGGAACUGCAGCCCCUGACGGGUGGGGACGUCAGUGUUUUGUUGGCAGUCAGGAUCACUGGAGAGGUCAGGGUCGCAUCCUCAGAAGCUCAGAUGGGUGGCAGAGACGGCUGUGGGCUGCCGAGUGCAUGCUCUGUGGGCUUCUUGGCCACCUCCCUGCCCGCCCCCCACUCCUGCAGUGGUCCCAGGUCCCUGCGGGCCUGCCCAGAGGUGGCUUCCACAGGUUGGCAGAAGUCAUCUGUGAAUAAACAGCCUGUGGGUACAGGUGACAACACACGGAGAGCUGAGGCCGUGGCUGGGGCACAGGCUUUCCUGUGAAGCUUUUCCCACCCUAUCCGUGAGGCUCCCUGGCAGGACUGACAGUGCUGUCCGAUUCUCCAGCAGCCGCGGGGUCUCUGUGACCCCACCGCUGACACGGGGUCCGUUCUCUCUUUUUUCUGUUACCAGCAGUACAAGGCAUCUCUCCCCAUGCACACUUCCUUAGGGAUCUUUCUUUUUUUUCUUUUUUGUUUUUUUAAAACAGAGUCUCACUCUGUCGCCCAGGCUGGAGUGCGGUGGCACAGUCUCGGCUCACUGCAACCUCCACCGCCCCGGUCCAAGCAAUUCUGCCUCAGCCUCCCGAGUAGCUGGGAUUACAGGCACGCACCACCAUGCCCGGCUAAUUUUUGUGUUUUUAGUAGAGAUGGGGUUUCGCCAUGUUGGCCAGGCUGGUCUCCAUCUCUUCCCAUCCAAGUACUAACCAGGCCCGACCCCGCUUAGCUUCCGAGACCAGACGAGAUCGGGCGCGUUCAGGGUGCUAUGGCCGUAGACGGUCUCCAUCUCUCGACCUGGUGAUCCACCCGCCUCGGCCUCCCAAAGUGCUGGGAUUACAGGUGUGAGUCCCCGUGCCUGGCCGCGAAUCUUUGUUUUUGAUUUUCUUUUUUUUUCAGUUACGGUGUCACUGUGUCACCCAAAGGCAGGAAAUGAACAUGGGUGCAGGCCUGCCAGCGAAACCUCAGGCUCCCCGUUCCAGCUUCGUCAGUUUCCCCCAGAGUCCUUUUCUUUCCUGGCCAGGCCCCACCCGGGGUCCCGCGUGGCGUUUCGUCCUGUGUCUCUUUAGUUUCAUAAAGGUCCGUCAUGGUUAAAGACAUGCUUUGCUUGUCUUUAACGACCUCGACAGCUUGAAGAGGCCUGCUCAGGCUUUCUGUGAAACACCCCCUAAUAUGGGUUUGCCCGUCUUCCCGAAGUCACGCUGAGGGGACAGUGUUUGGGGAAGGACGCUCCACUCGAGGCGCCUCUCUCCUCACCACCCGCAGGGGUCCCAGAGACCCCCAC
rnacentral:lncRNA from 1 species